ensembl:lncRNA
GUUAUAUCGUAGAUUAGACGAUCAGUGUAAGAGUGUUGGCCAACAUAAUACAUAACGAUAGCAUGAACAAUUUGCGCAGCAAUCGUACAUUUAUGUAUCUGCUGAAGUAGGCCUACGUCACUUGUGUACGGAAUUACAGGGAAAUGGUUUCAGAGAUCGAGACGUAUGCUUUCGCUAAUCCCCGCAGGAGAGUUGUCAUAGGCAGAUUAGGGACACAUUUAUGUUUACGUGUAAAUGCUUGCAAAUAAACAUUGUAAAUUAAUAUUAUUGUAUAUGGUUUUAAAAUGUUUCCAUUUUUUUUAAAUAACAGAUGUUUGCAUCACCUUUCAUUUGUUCAAUAAUACACACUUUGGUUAGUAAAAUAUUUAUUUUGGUUAUUGAAAGAAAUGCAAGUGACAGCUUUCCAUGUUUUGUAUAAAUCCUUCUAAAAGCAGUCGGCAGACACCAGUGGUUUCCUUUGACAGAUUUUAUUGCAGACUCCAACUUCACCGUGAAAACUCGUUGGCUGCAUGCUAUUUACAGGGACUCUGAAACUAGAUUCUUCUCGGCGAUGCAUAUCACAAGCUGUUCAUCUUCUCUCAUGCCGCAUCUCUAGCUGACAAAGAGUAAUCUUCUAGCACAAGAGAACAAUCCGCCUUACAAGUGACGUCAUUCAACUAACUAUUUAAAUCAAACUUAAUUAACGAACACAAUUAUUGAAUUACUAAUAUAAACAAAAAUGAAUUGUCUUAUAAUAUGAAAAUACCUGCGGAAAGAGGCUUUUCUCUCCAAAACAGGAUUUAAACAUCUAUAAGAAACCGCCUAGCUGAGGAAAAGGUGACGAGGCUGAUGCGCAUAUCGCGCCUUGGGCCGGGUUUGAAAGAGUUCAACUUUUCGCGAGCAGCGGAUCUCUUCCAUGCCAUGAAGUUGCGCCAAAAGUAGCCUGCAAGAAUUGCAAUUAUCGAAUUAAUUUUUUUUUACCCGUUUACCAUUUCGGCCAAGAAUGGCCGUUUUGUUUUUUUUGCCUAGGCUAAUUUAUUAAAUGGCAUUUAUUGACGCAACUUAGUUUGUGUCGUUUGUCGUUUAAAUGUGGACUUCUGGUGAUUAUUUAAUUAUUAGUGAAUAACGUCCGGAAGAUAUUCCAAAUGUCCGAUAUUCCGGAAU